rnacentral:rRNA from 1 species
UAAUGUCUGGGAAACUGCCUGAUGGAGGGGGAUAACUGCUGGAAACGGUAGCUAAUACCGCAUAACGUCGCAAGACCAAAGGUGGGGGACCUCCGGGCCUCAUGCCAUCAGAUGUGCCCAGAUGGGAUUAGCUAGUAGGUGGGUAACGGCUCACCUAGGCGACGAUCCCUAGCUGGUCUGAGAGGAUGACCAGCCACACUGGAACUGAGACACGGUCCAG